GAUGAACGCUGGCGGCGUGCCUAAUACAUGCAAGUCGAGCGAACGGACGAGAAGCUUGCUUCUCUGAUGUUAGCGGCGGACGGGUGAGUAACACGUGGAUAACCUACCUAUAAGACUGGGAUAACUUCGGGAAACCGGAGCUAAUACCGGAUAAUAUUUUGAACCGCAUGGUUCAAAAGUGAAAGACGGUCUUGCUGUCACUUAUAGAUGGAUCCGCGCUGCAUUAGCUAGUUGGUAAGGUAACGGCUUACCAAGGCAACGAUGCAUAGCCGACCUGAGAGGGGGAUCGGCCCCACUGGAACUGAGACCCGGCCCAAACUCCUCGGGGGGGCAGCAGGAGGGAAUCUUCCGCAAGGGGCGAAAGCCUGACGGAGCAACGCCGCGUGAGUGAUGAAGGUCUUCGGAUGGUAAAACCUUUUUAUUAGGGAAAAACAUUUGUGUAAGUAACUGUGCACAUUUUGGCGGUCCCAAAGCAAAAACCCGCGGCUAACCACGU
rnacentral:rRNA from 1 species